UACGGAGGGAGCUAGCGUUGUUCGGAAUUACUGGGCGUAAAGGGCGCGUAGGCGGCCAUUUAAGUCGGGGGUGAAAGCCUGUGGCUCAACCACAGAAUUGCCUUCGAUACUGGAUGGCUUGAGACCGGAAGAGGUAAGUGGAACUGCGAGUGUAGAGGUGAAAUUCGUAGAUAUUCGCAAGAACACCAGUGGCGAAGGCGGCUUACUGGUCCGGAUCUGACGCUGAGGCGCGAAAGCGUGGGGAGCAAACAGG
rnacentral:rRNA from 1 species